rnacentral:rRNA from 1 species
UACGUAGGUGGCAAGCGUUGUCCGGAUUUACUGGGCGUAAAGGGAGCGUAGGUGGAUAUUUAAGUGGGAUGUGAAAUACUCGGGCUUAACCUGAGUGCUGCAUUCCAAACUGGAUAUCUAGAGUGCAGGAGAGGAAAGUGGAAUUCCUAGUGUAGCGGUGAAAUGCGUAGAUAUUAGGAAGAACACCGGUGGCGAAGGCGACUUUCUGGACUGUAACUGACACUGAGGCUCGAAAGCGUGGGGAGCGAACAGG